CAAAGGUGAGCCAGUACAGGAUGGACCCGCGUCUGAUUAGCUAGUUGGUAAGGUAACGGCUUACCAAGGCGACGAUCAGUAGCCGACCUGAGAGGGUGAUCGGCCACAUUGGAACUGAGACACGGUCCAAACUCCUACGGGAGGCAGCAGUGGGGAAUAUUGCACAAUGGGCGAAAGCCUGAUGCAGCAACGCCGCGUGAGUGAUGAAGGCCUUCGGGUCGUAAAACUCUGUCCUCAAGGAAGAUAAUGACGGUACUUGAGGAGGAAGCCCCGGCUAACUACGUGCCAGCAGCCGCGGUAAUACGUAGGGGGCUAGCGUUAUCCGGAUUUACUGGGCGUAAAGGGUGCGUAGGCGGUCUUUCAAGUCAGGAGUGAAAGGCUACGGCUCAACCGUAGUAAGCUCUUGAAACUGGGAGGCUUGAGUGCAGGAGAGGAGAGUGGAAUUCCUAGUGUAGCGGUGAAAUGCGUAGAUAUUAGGAGGAACACCAGUUGCGAAGGCGGCUCUCUGGACUGUAACUGACGCUGAGGCACGAAAGCGUGGGGAGCAAACAGGAUUAGAUACCCUGGUAGUCCACGCUGUAAACGAUGAGUACUAGGUGUCGGGGGUUACCCCCUUCG
rnacentral:rRNA from 1 species